CUGUGCGCCCUCUGGGGCUGCUCACCUGCCCGCUGGCCCCAGGGCUCGGUGGCCGGCACCUCGGCGGUCACCGCCUUGGCUCUGCCUGUCCAGGGGGUGAAGGUGGCCCUGGGAGAAGAAGAGAUGGCAUAGGUGGCCCUGGAACAAUUGUGUCCUGGUCCCAGCUGUGGCAGACAGAAGUGGACCCCAAACGCUGGUGACCCUCACCCAGAGGUGGGCUUCAACCCUGGUGACCUUCAUGCAGAGGUGGACCCUCUCCCCUUGACCUUCACCCAGAGGUGGACCUUGAAACCCAGUGACCCUCACCCAGAGGUGGAGCCUGUCCCUGGUGACCUGCAACCCCAGUGCCCCUUGCCCAGAGGUGGGCUCUGACCCCUGCAUCCCUCACACGUGGAGGUAAGAGCCGCGGUGUGGCUGUGGUGCCCAGGGACCCUUCUGUGCAGCACACAGCGGGGCCCCAGGGGGCCUUGUCCCUUCUGGGGGGCUCUUUCCCCUCCUCCCCCAGCCCACAUCCCCUUCCCCUGCUCUCCCCACAGCCCGGGCACUCCCGUC